ACAAAACACGAGCAACAUCGGUGGUGGCUUUUCAUCCAGCCAAUGGACAAGGGAAACAAAGAAAGAAAGAAGGAUUGCAACCCAAAAGAUUCUGCUACAGCCAAAGACCAUCGGAAUCAACUGUCGCUUCACGUACAGGAUGAGGAUUCCACUAUAUUGCGUGAGUCCCCUCUGUCCCACACAGUUGUAGAAGAUCUUAUGCUUCUGUUUC
rnacentral:lncRNA from 1 species